GAACUUGUAGUAAAGAUCCUUGCCGCUUGGCUUUGACUCUGGACUCUGGUGGUCUUCUUUGGGGAACAAACGGUCUGGGUAUAACACUUGGGACAAUUUUCAGGCAUGUUUUCUUUCCCCUUCUCCUACGAGUGAUUUGUUUUUAUUGUGGGUUGAAGAGGACAUUUGAAAAGGACUUUUACAGAAAUAAAGCCUCAGAUGCUGUUAUAUGUCUCUAGGGAGUGUCUACAUUUGCUUCUGUCUGUAACUGUGGUCACUAGUUCCCCAGGCCAUUCUCAAUUAAUUUUGGUGUUGGAGGUGCUGUGAGGCUGAGCAGCAGUCCCCACUGAGGGCCUGUCUGCAUCAAGUGAGUCCUUACUCUUAGCAAGUGGCUGGUCAGUACCUUGGCAAUCCCUGGCUGCAAACUAAUGUCCCUAUGAUGCCUCGAAGUCAGUGGUCAAAAUCCUCUCGAAUUGGACAAUUCAGAGGAAAAAGGAGGUAUAUGUUCCAGUAUUCUAUAGCACUGGAGGAUGACUCUAGUUGAAAACAAUUUAUCACAUUUUUUCAGAGAGUUAGAAAAGAAGAAUUGAAUGAUUCCCAACCCACCAAAAAGUGAUACGUUUGACAUGAUGGGGAAACUACCUUUGUAAAAAAUUAUAAUAGUCAGAAAAUUAUGACAGCGAAAGAGAUGUGAUUUGACCACUCCAUCUUGCCUUUAACCUCCAAACUACCCUUGGUCAUUCCUGGGCUUGGGCCAUUCUAACUAGGAGAAAUUUAGUUUAUAGUUUAAAUGACAGUAGCCCCUCCCCCAGGCUAAACUGCCUUUGUAAAACUAAUGAAAGGCCACCAAGUUAAAUGUUAGUAGGCCCUCCCCCAGACUAAACUUCCUUUGUAAAACUAAUGAAAGGCCACCAGGUUAGCAGGAUGAGUUCCACUAAGAUGUAGGUGUAGUUAAAUUAUUACCAGCCAUUAUUCCAGAGUUCACAAGGUUUGCAACUUCUCCAAUUUACUAGUAUAGAACAUAAGACUGGCCUUUUAAUAUGUCUUUACUGGCUUUUGCAGGCUUGUGCCUGCAACUCUGCACUCAACCACUCCUGGGACCCUCACCUAGAAGUGACCUCAGGCAUGAAGGCCAUUUUCUGCACCCCUAAGAUUGCAUCCCCUACCAGUUAGAAACACCCAUAUCCUAGCCCCCUACCUACCAACUCUCUUUGAAAAACUCAAGUCUCUGAACUUCCAGGAAGGCUGAUUUGUGUCAUAAUAAAACUCUAGUCUCCUAUUUAGCUGGCUCUACAUGUAUUAAACAUUAAACACUGUCUCUGUUGCAAUUCCCCUGUCUUGAUAAAUUGGCUCUAUCUGGGCAGCUGGCAAAAUGAACCUGUUGCAUUGUUAAAUGGAUAUGCUAAUUACCCUGAUCUGCCCACUAUACGUUGUAUGUAUCAAAACAUGACUAUGUACUCCACAAAUAAAUACAACUAUUAUGUGUCCAUUAAAAAAUAUAUGUUUUAAAUGGGCCACACACAUAGCAUAGAAUGCUAUACUGCAAUCUUCUACCAGAUCCAUCAUAUAUUACUAAUUCUCGCUGUCUUUAAGUAUUUGUUUUUAUUAUUUAUCAGUCUUUUUGAGUGUGUGUGUGUGUGUGUGUGUUUGUUUGUGUUGGGAGGGGUAGCAGAUGUAAAAGUCCUUGCAUUAUCAUCUCUAUUUUUUAUUAAUAUUUUGCCAUGUUGAUCUUUUCUUUUCUUUUUUUUUUAACAUUUUAGCCUUGUUGAACCCUCCCUUGUACCUUUGUUUUCCAUUUUAAUUCCCUGUUGUACCUAUUUUUUCCCUUUACUGCACAUUCCUUAACAUUCAAACUAAUUUUAAUUCUUGCAUUUCCCACAAUAAAUACAUUGAAAGCUACACAUUUCUCUGUGUCAUAAAAAUUUUUAUAUUUGAUAUUUUUUAUAUUACCAUAUUGUAUACAUUUAUAUAUAUUUCUAUUAUUUCCUCUUUAAACUAUGAGUUACUUAGAAGAUUUCUUUUAAUUUCCAAAUAUAUGGGGGUUUUAAUGAUUUUCCUUUGUUACCAAUUGUUAACUCAACUGUGCUGUCAUCAGAUAAUAUAAUCUACGUAAUACCAGUACUGGUUUUAUGGACUGGAUUUGAAAGGAAGACAUUUUCUCAACCUGCUUAGUUCAGUGUUCUACAUGCAGCCACAGUGUGAAUUACUGUAAGGUGAAUUCACUCAUGGGUGAUUUGUUAAUAAGGAAGUUAGUUUAGAAUGGAGUAAACACUGUCUUGGCUCAUCCACAAAUAUUCUAGACAAGAGGGUAGAGAAUUAUGGUAGGAUCUUCUAUUAUUGGGAAAUAGAAGUCUUCAAUGUUGCUGCCAUGCUGGCAGGAAAAGCACUACUGCAUCUAUCUUAAGAAAACUAGAAACAAGUACUAGGGUCCUUCCCAGGGCCACAUCCCUCAUCCUCCUGUGCUGCACUCUUGCUCCAUUGCCCUGCCUCCACAGACACCCUAAAGGAGCACGCUUGCUCAUGCUCCUCCCAUCUGCCAGUCUGUACCCACCUGCUCCACUCCAACCAAACUUCAAUAUAUAUAUUGCCACUCUAUUGUUCUGGAGCAUUUUUAGCAAUCACUGUGGCAGCAUGUGCUCACAAUGUAUCUGGAUGGGCCGACAGAUUAUCCCCUCCAGUCUUGUGUACUCUUUUCUGUUUUGUACUCUUAUUAUAAAGCUGCGUAGUUUUGUAUUGUCCUCCAUAACUCUUUUUUCUCAUAAUCCCUACUAUCUUUUGAAUAUAUUUUUCAGAACAAUGUAUUUUUCAGGAAGUAGACAAUGUUUCAGUGCAGAAAUAUCUAUAUAACCUGCAGUUUCAUCUUACAGUUUGUGUGGUUCAAAUCUUUCACACACUUCCUAUCGACAUUAAAGACAGGGGCAUUAAAAUUACCCCAAAGGUGGCUUAUAUCUUCAUGUUCCAUGUGACCUUGAGGAUUGUGAUAUCAUGAUCAAUAAAAUUUUAUCUAUGGGACUUUUGAGGCUUUGAUUUAGCCCUUCAUUUUUUCAGAUACUUGAGAAGGGUCACCAAUGGGACCUUCCUAAAGUUCAUUCCAGAUAUGUCAAUUUCUUCUUGUAGUUCUUUCACUUUUGACUUAAUAUAUUUUAAAGUUAUGUUACUAUGUUUAGAUAAGUUUAGGAUUGUUCUCCCCUCCUGGUGAAUUAAACCUUAAUGUUUGAUCUUAAGAAAGGCUUUUGGCCUUAAGGUUUGUUUUGUCUUAGACUAAUAAAAGUUCACUACUUUUCUAUAACUUGCCUUUUAAAAUCUUUAUUUCAUCUGGAAUCUUUGAUACUUUGUUAUUGGUUGAUAUGGUUUGGAUUUGCGUCCCCACCCAAAUCUCAUGUCAAAUUGCAAACCCCAAUGUUAUAAGAUGAGCUUGGUGGGAGGUAAUUGGAUCAUGGUGACGGAUUUUCCCCUUGCUGUUCUCAAGACAGUUGAGUGAGUUUUUAUGAGAUUUUGUUGUUUAAAAGUGUGUAGCAUGUCCCCUUUCUCUCUCUUCCUCCUGCUCCAGCUACAUAGGACAUGUCUGCUUCCCUUUUGACUUCCCAUAUGAUUGUAAGUUUCCUGAGGCCUCCCCAACCAUGCUUCCUGUACAGCCUGUGGAACCAUGAGCAAUUAAACCUCUUUUCAUUAUAAAUUACCCAGUUUCAGGUAGUUCUCCAUAGCAAUGUGAGAACAGAUGAAUACACUGGUGUAUUGUUUCUCCUAAAGCUUGCUCGCAAUGGCUUGUAUCUUCUUAUUUCAUGUGACUUUGAGAAUUGUGAUAUCACAAUCAAUAAAAUUUGAUCUGUGGGAUUUUUGAGGUUUUGAUUUAGGCCUUCUUUCUGUCAGAUAACUGGGAAGGGUCACCAGUGGGAGCUUCUUAAAGUUAAUGCCAGGCUUAGGUCUUUUGGCAUUGGAAGUAGAGUGCAUUCUAGUCUAAAAGAUGCCUUGUAAGCAGCCUGUCAUUGGAAAUGCUUUAUUAAAGCUGUUUUCCUCCUUCCAUAUAAGCCAAAACCUCAAAGUUUUCCUACUGUCUCAUUCUUCGGUUACUUUCUUCUCUUCACAGUUCGUUCUCUCCUCUAGAAAAUCACCUUUUGGAAAUUGUUUUUAUGGGAGAUUCUUAUACUGAUUUCUCACCUUCUCAGGACCUAGACUUUCUCUUGUUUUCCUUGUGAAGCCCAUUUAAAUGCAGAGACUUGGGCUAUGGAAGAUCCAGGAGGCUGAAAACCCUUGACUCUGUGGCUUCAGUGUCUAUCCAAUUCAUUGUUUCUGCCUCUCUGGACGCCUCUUACUUUCUUAUCAACUCAAGUCUACAUAAAGAGGAUAUUUGUAUCCAGUCUUUUAUUCUUUUAAUGUGCGAUGCAUUGCAAAGGCUAUUUGGGCAGUUAGUCUUCUACAUUGCUGGAAUUUGAUGUCUGAUUAUAGCUGCCUUUUUAUUAGUAUCUGUGGUCCUGUAUUUUAAAAAUUUCAAUAAUCAUAACACUAUGAUGAGAAAGUAUUACUUUAAACAUAAUAUUAUUUUUUAAAACACAAACGUUCACUACACUGAAAAAAAUAGGAAAAAUGUAAUACUGAUUAUUAAGCACUUUAUAAGUUGUAUACCUUUAAGAAAAAUGGUUAUUUUUAUUUCUCUAAGAACAUAUAAUGCAGGCAUUUAUGAAUAUUAAAUAAACUUAAAUAUAUAACAACCACCCAGUGAGUAUAAAUACUGAACUCUGAUAUAGCGGAUAUGUGAAUGAAUUCUUUACUUUGUGAGCAUUUAAAUUUUUUUCUUAAAUUUUUAUAAUGAUUGAGGAAUUGUUGGAAGCAAAGCGUAACCCACAGUGCUAAACACACAUUCAGGCCUCAAUUUUGUAAUUUUCUACAACCUUCCUUAUGCUCAGUGCAUUCCUCAGAUAGAGUUAAGUAUAUUGCCAGUGUUAGGCAACAGAAAACAUUACUCCCUUUUUCAAAAAUAACAUUUACAUUGAGAGUGCAAAUGUUAACUAUUAUGAAAAAAAUCAUAUGCCCUAAUGUCAUGUCAAGGAAUUAGCUCAUGCUGAAAUAGUGACUUAGUAUUUUUGAAGUCAUGAAAUUCCAUUUCAGGGUCUGAGGUGAGUUGGUAUUUUUGUUAUGUUUGAUUUUAUUCACAGAGCAGAACUUAAUAAUGUUAAGAAAAAAGAAUCAAAGUCUUUGAACUGAGCUGAUAUGCCUUCUUCUUUUGCAUGGCUUAGAAUGAAUGCAAUCUGCAGUCUUUCCCUCUCAUCCUCACAUCCACAGACUCUAGCUUUGCUGAGUGGUGUGGUAACAGCACAGAGCUGGAGAUCAGAACAACAGAUUUUGAAUAACUUCUCCAUCAUCCUCUGGCCUACUAGAAAAUCUGGUAACCUUUCUUAGCCUUGUAAUUUGAAGAGUUGUUAUGAAGAGUAUAUUCUACUAAAUGAAAAAAACAGUGGUUUGUAGACUGUAAUGGAACUUCUAAUAUAAUAGGUUUUUAAUAUCAUACAUUGAUUCUAGAUCUUGUAAUUAGAUUUUAAAUAGAUUUGGCCUUGUGUGCACCCACUCGACUUUUUUCUAUUAAAUCUGUUAUUGGUCUAUUUUCAGUAUAUAGACUUGAGACAAGAACAUUACAUGCCAGCACAUAUUAUGAAGGUGCUAAGUAAGAGUAUAAGUAGGUGACUGGGUUUUAUUGCAAAGGUCAGGAAAUAUAGCUUUUAAGAUUGAUUCUGACAUGUGAUAUAUAUAUAUAUAUAAUGUUUUAUCCCUUUGGGCUGCCUUCCCAGUGAUUGAAAAAAAUGACUCCUCCUUCAUUAAUAGUUCUUUCAUCAUAGGCCAAGGUGGUUUUAUGAGACUUUUCCUACAUGUGCUUUUACAUCAACAAUAUGAAACAAGUUAUGGUGUGUACCAAUAUAUUAACCAUUCAUAAAUGAGUAAUAUUUAAAUAUGUAGUUAUAUCAUGAUGAGGUUUUACUUUUGCUAAAUUAAUAUGUCUACAUUAAGUUAAAUCAUCGGCUUAAAAAUCAACUCCUUUUGGUGUCAGCCCAUUUGUUUCAUUACUGUUCAAUACUAAUAAACUUAUACAUAUAUAUAUUUUCUAAAUUUAUCCUUGAAUUUCUUUUCCCCCAAACUCAAUAAAUAAGUUUUCUACUUCUGGUAAAUAUUAACAGGAUACUAUCUGGUAUGUUGACUACUCUCUGAUGUAACUCCUAGUGAUGGUUCUCCAAAUGCUAUUCUGGCAUGCAUUCUGGAAUAAAUGCAUCUAGUAAUCUCUAAAAUAAUUCACUAACUUAUGCUUUUUGGGCAAUUGUUGACAUAAAAUUUUAGCAACUUUCCUUUCUUAUGAAAAGAAUUCUCAGGCAUUAAGAAUUUUAAUUUCUAAUUCAACAUUCAAAUAGCACGAUCCUUGAUUAUUUUUUCAAAAAAGUUGCAAUUACCAUAUUCUAGACCCAGAAAAAUGUUCCUUUAAUCAUACUGCCUAGUAUACACCACUUCAGAUAAAAUCUAAAGCAAAUUUGUCUAAGUAAUUUAUAACAAAACGGUGUGAUAGAUUUGAAGCAACCAGCUUUCAUCCCCUAAGUCUGUUGCUACUCUUAACAGUAUAAAUUUAUUGAGUUUACUUAUUUCCUUCACACCAUACUCUUAUAAAAACUCAAUAUGUGAUUACUGAAAAAAUAAGUGGCACACUUCUUUCCUUCAGCAAUGUCCUAUCUUACUGAAAAGAUAGUUCCGCAUUUCAAAAGAAGUUGAGUAAAAGACAACAUGUGAAACAAAGCUAAAAACACACGGAACCAGAAGUAAUUAAUGCGAGGAAAGGUAAAACUAAACCAUGAAAAAGAGAUCAGCAAUAUGUAAAAAGAGAUCAGCAAAAUUUAAAAAUGUUCUUAUCCUUUUGUGGCUUUUAAAGAUGCUUACAUGGAGAGACACAGAAGGAGCAAAUCAACCCAGCCAGCCAAAUCAGCUGACCUAUUGAAAACAGUCCUUGGAAUGACAGGUGCCCCAGCCAUCUGCCCAUGCCAAAGAAUCAGACAUUUUUUUCAGGAGGGAAGACAUGCCUGAGUCAUGCUCCUGAGUGAGAUGGAAACUCUCUGGCUUUCUAUAAAGAAAAUCCUUGAUUUUACAAAUAAUCUUGAUGAAUUUGUCAAUAUAUUUUACUACAAAUAAGCCUAUUCUAGUGAAAGUGAUCACUAAUUCGGUUUUGCAAUUAAACUGAAUAUUACUCUUAAGACGUUUUUUGCACUGAUCCUUGUUAUCCAUGUGACAGAUGCCAUAUGAAGAGUUAGCUGGGAUUAAAUUUAAUUAAAUUCAUAAUCUCCUUCUGAAAACUUUCUAGGAAGUUUGAAAGUGAUUGGAUUUUAGUCUCAGAAGAUAUGUCUUUGCCUAUAAUCUUUUGGAAAGGAGAGGGCUUGGAUUCCAUCAGUUACCUAGAGUUCAACAGUUUGUCUGGAUUGAUAAUACUUCUAAAAUUAUUUUUAAAAUUAAGCUAUAAUUUAUCACCUUUGUUAUAAACCUAAUUGAUCCUUAUCAUUGUCACUUGAAGUAACAAUUAUAAUAAAAUGUCAGGAUAUCUCAAACCAAUCUCAAUCUUUCAUCUAUGCCUAACUAUAAAUAAUAUAUUCAAACAGGAAUAUAGCCAUAACAAUCUUACUUAAAUAGUGUGAUAUGAUGAUGAAAAGGCAUUUUUAAAUAUUUUUGGCUCUUCUUGUUGAUUGUUUCAUGAUAUAACUUGUGUCUAAUUAUUUUGUCCUAAAGUGCCAACAUAACUAAAAAUGAAAAAUAAUGAAACUCAUUUACAAUGUGAUAUGUCAUGUAUUGACGUGGUUCAUUUUGCAAGGUUUUUGUUUAUUUGUAGUAUCAAAUCAAAGCACAUAGAAUAUAUAUACACACAUUUCUCUAUGCCCGUUGUUCGCACUUCAAACUGAGGUAUCCAAUAUUAAAAUGUCUCGUUCUUCUUCAUACAACUUUUUGCAGAUUUAUACAAGAUUUUAACAUUUAUUUAAACAAAAUAAAAACAUCAAAAUCUCCUGAAGAAUGUAAUCUUUUAAAAAUCUCAGCUGAUUGUUCUGUUUUUGUCUUGUGACAUCCACUUGAUUGUAAUUAAGGGAGUGGUUCCUGCCCUAGAAAACAGGGUCCCAGGAGAACUAUCCUCCUGGACUGGUGCACAUGCGGCCAUCUGGUGGUCGCCCAAGGUGAGAACCCACCCUACAGUCUACAGCAUUUUGAUUACAGCAUUUUGAUUAUCAAAAUUGGAAGAUGAAAACAGAUUUCUUUGCCUUUGCCUUCAAUGCCACUGGACGUGCCACUAAAGAAAGUCGAAAGAGGUCUCUUUGAGACAUCCAUGUGGCUGAGUAGGGAGACAGUUUCCCGUUGAUUCUAGCAUAUUACUUUUCUAUAGUAUCAUCAGCUUUGUCAGGGUACUGGAGUUAAGCCCAACUCACUUGCAAUUUGUUGACUUGGCUAUUCUCUAUUUGCCAGGUCCCUUUUAUUUUUAUUUUAAGUGUCCAUGCCUAGGGUGGACAAUUGAAAAGGCUUUGCCAGAUUCCGAAUCAAACUGUUAUCAGAGAUAUAGGCUUAGUAUUGAAUCAAGUCAAGCCAAUUACAUUACACAAAGAACACUGAGAAAAUUAUCAGGAGCAGAAAAUAAAACACAGUAGAUGAGUGCACAAAAUAUAUUUUCUUGACCCGCAUUUUCCAAGUACAUAGAAAAUACCAACACUCGUGUCCCUGUAGGUGAAAACCGUUGUAUCAUCCAGUCCAAAGUGGUUUUCUAACUAUUUUACUGCUCCACGUAAACAUAAAGAGAAUAUAAAAUUUUGAUUUUUUCUAAUACAGUGAUUGAAAGUAAAAUACAUAUUUAAUUUUUCCAAAAGUUUGAUGACAAAAUAGUUCAUUUUCACAUCAACUCAUGUAAAUUUAUUAAUAUACCAGAAAACAUCCCCCCUCCACUGCAAUUGGUAUGUCAUAUGCCAUAGCCUACAUACUUUUUAAGUCAAUUUUAUCAAUACUACUUUCAUUCCUUUUGGGUUUGCUUUUAUCACUCAAUAUUCACAAGAAUAUAAUUAGGUAUGAUGGAGCCAUAUGAAAGAAAUUCCUAUACAGAAUACUUCACUGAGAAAUUACUGUUCAGAUGUUAAGAUUUUGCCACCUCCAAACAUACAUGAUGUUUUAAUUCCUUCUAGAAAUAUCUAUUGGCACACUGCCUAUGCACAAGCAAGUCUGUCUGAGAAUGUUGGAUAAGUGACGAUGUGUAUGUGUCUACUCUUACAUAGGGAAGAUGAUAUAUGUGUACACUACAAAGACUCAAGGGAAUGAAUGGCAAGCAAUAAAAUAUGAGUUGUUGAGAGGCAGGAGAAAUGUUAUUUCCAAAUCGAGGUUAUUGGGAGAGGCAUCAUUAAAAUGCUGUUUGCCAUUGCAUAGGCAGGUCUUAAUUGCUCUGGGGUUGCUUCCACACGUUCUCUCACAGAAUAGUUCUGAGAACAUUCCAGCCAAAACUUCUAUUCAAAUUGGUCAGCCUGAUCUUACAACACAGCUGCUGGAAGACACUGAAUGGCACUUUUGAAUUUCAGCCAAUUUUGCUG